AAUUUAGCUCAAUGUUCAGAACUUCAGGUGCUGUCUUUGUCUUUCAACGAAUUUGGAGGUUCCAUACCAAAAGAAAUUGGAGCACUGAAGAAGCUUGAGGAGCUAUACUUGGGUCACAACUAUUUAGAAGGUCAAAUUCCAAAAGAGAUUGGUAAUUCAACUAUGAUUACAAUACAAAAUUUUGCAUACAACAACUUAACAGGUGUAAUACCACGAGAGAUUGGUAACUGGUACUUUCUCGAAGAACUCGACAUGGAAUUCAAUAGCUUAACU